rnacentral:rRNA from 1 species
AUUUUCUGCCACCGAAUACAUUAGCAUGGGAUAAUGGAAUAGGACCCUGUCCUCCUAUUUUCAGUUGGUUUUGGCAGCGCGAGGACUAGGGUAAUGAUUAAUAGGGAUAGUUGGGGGCAUUAAUAUUUAAUUGUCAGAGGUGAAAUUCUUGGAUUUAUGAAAGAUUAACUUCUGCGAAAGCAUCUGCCAAGGAUGUUUUCAUUAAUCAAGAACGAAAGUUAGGGGAUCGAAGACGAUCAGAUACCGUCGUAGUCUUAACCAUAAACGAUGCCGACCAGCGAUUAGGAGACGUUGAAUACAAAACACCACCAUCGGUGCGGUCGUCCUUGGCGUCGGUCUUUCGGGGCCGGCGCGGGGACGGCUUAGCCCGGUGGCACCGGUGAAUGACUCCCCUAGC